rnacentral:rRNA from 1 species
UACGGAGGGUGCAAGCGUUAUCCGGAUUCACUGGGUUUAAAGGGUGCGUAGGUGGGUCUGUAAGUCAGUGGUGAAAUCUCCGAGCUUAACUCGGAAACUGCCAUUGAUACUAUAGGUCUUGAAUUAUCUGGAGGUGAGCGGAAUAUGUCAUGUAGCGGUGAAAUGCUUAGAUAUGACAUAGAACACCAAUUGCGAAGGCAGCUCACUACGGAUAUAUUGACACUGAGGCACGAAGGCGUGGGGAUCAAACAGG